rnacentral:rRNA from 1 species
GACGAACGCUGGCGGCGUGCUUAACACAUGCAAGUCGAACGGAAAGGCCCUGCUUUUGUGGGGUGCUCGCGUGGCGAGCGGGUGAGUAACCUGUGAGUAACCUUCCCUUGACUGUGGGAUGACUUCAGGCAACUGCGGCUCCUACCGGAUCGGGGGUCCUGCUGCAUGGUGGGGGUUGGAAAGUUUCGGCGGUUGGGGCUUGACUCGCGGUUUCUCAGCUUUUUGGUGGGGUAGUGGCUUACCAAGGCUGUGACGGAUAUCCGGCCUGAGAGCGGGACCGGCCACAAUGGGACUGAGAUACGGCGCAGAGUCCAACAGGAGGCAGCGGGGGGGAAUAUGGCACAAUGGGCGGAAGCGUGAUGCAGCAGCGCCGCGUGCGGGAUGACGGCCUUCGGGUUGGAAACCGCAUUCGCCUGUGACGAAGCGUGAGUGACGUUAAUGGGUAAAGAAGCACCGGCUAACUACGUG